CUUGGUCAUUUAGAGGAAGUAAAAGUCGUAACAAGGUCUCCGUUGGUGAACCAGCGGAGGGAUCAUUACAGAGUUGCAAAACUCCCAACCCUUUGUGAACGAACUAGUCAGUUGCCUCGGCGGGGAGCCCUUCAGGGGGUAGCCCGCCGGAGGACCACUAAACUCUUGAAUUUUUGGCCUCUCUGAGUGAUUACACAAUGAAUCAAAGCUUUCAACAACGGAUCUCUUGGUUCUGGCAUCGAUGAAGAACGCAGCGAAAUGCGAUACGUAAUGUGAAUUGCAGAAUUCAGUGAAUCAUCGAAUCUUUGAACGCACAUUGCGCCCGCCAGCACUCUGGCGGGCAUGCCUGUUCGAGCGUCAUUUCAACCAUCAAGCCCCAGGCUUGCGUUGGAGCCCUGCGGCUGCCGCAGCCUCCCAAACCCAGUGGCGGGCUCGUCGUCGUACCGAGUGCAGUAAACUUACCACGCUCAGGGCACGCGACGGGUGACCGGCCGUAAAACCCCCCACUUUCUCAAGGUUGACCUCGGAUCAGGUAGGAAUACCCGCUGAACUUAAGCAUAUCAAUAAGCGGAGGA
rnacentral:rRNA from 1 species